rnacentral:rRNA from 1 species
UACGGAGGGGGCUAGCGUUGUUCGGAAUUACUGGGCGUAAAGCGCACGUAGGCGGCUUUACAAGUCAGGGGUGAAAGCCCGGAGCUCAACUCCGGAAUUGCCCUUGAGACUGUAUCGCUUGAACACGGGAGAGGUGAGUGGAAUUCCGAGUGUAGAGGUGAAAUUCGUAGAUAUUCGGAGGAACACCAGUGGCGAAGGCGGCUCACUGGUCCGGUACUGACGCUGAGGUGCGAAAGCGUGGGGAGCAAACAGG